rnacentral:rRNA from 2 species
GGUUAAGCGACUAAGCGUACACGGUGGAUGCCCUGGCAGUCAGAGGCGAUGAAGGGCGUGCUAAUCUGCGAUAAGCGCCGGUAAGGUGAUAUGAACCGUUAUAACCGGCGAUACCCGAAUGGGGAAACCCAGUGUGACUCGUCACACUAUCAUUAACUGAAUCCAUAGGUUAAUGAGGCGAACCGGGGGAACUGAAACAUCUAAGUACCCCGAGGAAAAGAAAUCAACCGAGAUUCCCCCAGUAGCGGCGAGCGAACGGGGAGGAGCCCAGAGCCUGAAUCAGCAUGUGUGUUAGUGGAAGCGUCUGGAAAGGCGCGCGAUACAGGGUGACAGCCCCGUACACAAAAGCGCAU